UGCUCUGAUGAAAUGACUAAUAGGAAGUGCCGUCAGAAUCGAUAAAUGACGACCAGAAGUCCUGACUGAUU